GAAGGGAGCCUGGCUGGCAGGAUGAGGAUUGGGGGGACACAGCUGCAGGAUGGGAUUGGAAACCCUGGCCGAAGGGAUUGGGGAUGGGACUCUGGCUGGCAGGAAGGGAAACCUGUCUCGAGGGAUGGGAUUAGCACCGGCCCUUAAGAUGGGGGAUGGGAGUCGGUCACCCCAGCCAGGAUGGGAGGAUGGCUGACCACUACCACCCCCCAGGAUUGGGGGAUUAGACCCUUUUUGCAACCCUCUGGGAGGUGGGUGGUGUUCUCCCCAUGGUGUUCAACUGCACGGCCUGUAGCGCAAUAAGCCGCGUUGCCAUCAAAAUCUUCCUCUUGGAGCUUGCUUCAUAGCCGCAGUCUACCUGUUGUAGGGCGUUAGAGCGUUACAGAGCUAAAUCGCAAAGACGAGACUUAAUUAAGACUGAUCUAGGAACAGUCUAUGAAUAUCUUGGAGUUUAUAAGUGUGUCCUUCAAAGAGACCGUCACUGGAUUACACCUAUGCCGAUCAUACCCCUCGCCCGAAACAGAACCAGAAACGAACCUAGGGUGAGAACGCCUGGGUAGAG
rnacentral:lncRNA from 1 species